GAUGAAGAACGCAGCGAAAUGCGAUAAGUAAUGUGAAUUGCAGAAUUCAGUGAAUCAUCGAAUCUUUGAACGCACAUUGCGCCCGCCAGUAUUCUGGCGGGCAUGCCUGUUCGAGCGUCAUUUCAACCAUCAAGCCCCCGGCUUGUGUUGGGGACCUGCGGCUGCCCGCAGGCCCUGAAAACCAGUGGCGGGCUCGCUGUCACUCCGAGCGUAGUAGCAUAUAUCUCGCUCAGGGCGUGCUGCGGGUUCCGGCCGUUAAAAGCCUUUUUUUACCCAAGGUUGAUCUCGGAUCAGGUAGGAAGACCCGCUGAACUUAAGCAUAUCAAUAAGCGGAGGA
rnacentral:misc_RNA from 1 species